UGUGACUCACUUUUGUUUGGCUCUAUAUUUCAUGCCUACCGGCACUGCCGUCAAUUUAUGUCGGCUUUCAAAACCAGAUAACCAAAAUAUCGAUAUGGCAAAUUGACAAGUCGUACAUUUGAAACAUUGCGUGUUUAAAUAUUCUAAUGUACAUGUGCUAAUUUUGUAAAAACAUUGGAAAUACUGCAACACUCACUGUAUACACUCAACUUAUCUAUUAUCUUAAAGAAGAAUCGAAAGCAUUUUAGAGCGUUAAAAGCGAUGCGGGUUGAUUGAUCAUUCUGUGAUUCAACCAUCGACGAAAUAUUCGGUUUCGAUGCGUUGCUGAUACGAUAUAGCGGCAUCAAAAGCAACCGGGCUGGUACACCGUUCUAAAUUACAAAAUCGACUUUGCAGACAAUCGAUAGGUUUGUCGUUGCACUCGGACUAUUGACGAGUGAUCACAUGCGCCCAUCCUAAUAUCAGAUUUAACGUCGACAUGGGGGAAGACAAACAGUCCUCGUAUUGGAUGAUGAAACGCGGGACGCGACAAACAUAUGGCUCCGAAAUGCCGCUGUAAUAACGGGAUGUAAAUUUACCAGGAUAGACGAACGCGGCGUACCGCAUCAUGAAAAUUCCACGCAGUUCGUUUCGAAUACGUUUUUAAGCGAACGUUCGCAUAUACUGCGAGAUAUUUCACUCUGCAAUCCAUAAAUUGUGGAAAUUAUGAAUAAAAAUUGGGUAAAAGCGUCGAUAAUUUAUGGGAAGCAUUGUAAUUAUACAUUAUAUUUUUUCAUGCUAGUAAGUAGGAUUAUUUUAUAUUUAUUGCACGUUUUAUAGAGAUAUAUUUAUACAUAUUUGAUAAUUCUUUACGAUUUAUAUUAUUUUUUAUCGAUUUUUUGUUUGAAAAAAAUAUUAAUUUAAAUUUAAAAGAUUUAUUUAUAAAUAUAUUUAUUUAUACAUUCGGAAAAGAUUAAUUGUAUCUAUUAUAUCAAAACUCAGUUGCAUUUUAAUAUGUAAAUAUUAAUUUUAAUAUAUAUUAUUUGGUAUUCAAAUUUAAGUGAAGUUGAAAACAAAAUUUUUAGAAAUAGGUAGUAUAUCUAUGAAGUGAUAAAUUGUUUCUAUAUAUUUUGCAUUUAACGUACUUGUAUGGUAUGCUAUAUGAAUAAUGCAUAAAUUAGACGUUUAUAUUGAAAUUACAUUUCCUGACUUUGUACAACAAAUGGGUCAUGUAAAUGUUAAAAAAUGCAGAAAGGGAGAGAGAGAGAGAGAGAGAGAGAGAGAGAGAGGCGGGAAAGGGGUAUAUUAAUCGAGUGAAAUAGUUUAGCUCGUUUCUGAGCGGAAUUUGCCAGCUCGCAAACCAGCAUCGCAACAGUCAUUAGUUAAGCGACAAAGUAGUUUAUAACCCUAACGAGCAUCGCACUAACGAACCGAUAAACAUAUCACCCUUAGUCUCGUAACUGGAUAGCAUAAACACUCGAAUCCUAGCGCAGCACAAGACGAGAACGAGAAAUGAUCGCGUCGCGAUUCCGCGGCUAUGAUUGUUCAGGACUACUGUUAAUGACAACCUUCUCUUAUAACAUCGUGUCCCUUUGUUUUUACGAGCAGUGUGACCGGCGUAACUGGCGAGUUUCAUUCGCGCUUAAUGCGCGACUCGCGUCGCGCGAUCCCGACAUUCAACUGGUCAUUUAAUACGCCUUUCUUGCAGAGGAUUGCAAUGACGCGACCGCGAUUCAAUAAACGUGAAUAGUGUAAGCACGAAAAAGUCGGGUUUAAUUACACUGACAAUGAGAAAAAUAUCUGGUGAGAUAUUAACCAGAAUUCUGGUUACACGAUUAUUCAUUAUACGGUUUAGUAAUCUGAGUUCUGGUGAGAUUAUCCAGAAUUCUGGCUAGACUGAAAAAAAUAUCUGGUGAGACUAAUCAGAAAUCUGGUUACACGAUUAUUCGCUAGAAUUUUUUAGUUAAUUUCACCAGAUACUUUUCUCAGUGUAGAUAUCCUCCGUAUUGUCGAGAUACGGAAAAUAUCUCAUACAAAUUAUUAUGAAUUAUAUUUACCUUUUCUUUAUUUAUCAAACAUCUUACAUAAUUUUUUUAAAAUUUGAAAUAGUUUUGCAGGCUUUAAAUAUUAUCAUUCUCUAUUGUGUAAAACAAUCCUAACUAUUGUAGCGAUAAAAUUUUUUUUACCACACUGGGCAAUGUUAAAUAAAUGGAAUUAUUAUGAUUUGAUGCUUGUCUAUAAUUACUAAAGUUGAUAUAACAUAUUUUGAAGAAAAAAAAACAUGAUUUAACGUGGUUUAUAAUUCAUAUAAAUGUAUGUAAAGUUGCAUGUUUCUUGUUUGGUUUAAUAACUGCGAAUGAAAUUAACAAACUAGAUGAAGAAUAAUUAACGUUGUUGGCAAGAUGUUUUUCGUAAAAUUGAAAAAAAAAAA
rnacentral:lncRNA from 1 species